CAAAAUUUAACAUAUAAAUGUGUCUCACUUACAUUGAGAAAAUGGUUAUAAUAUAAUCAAUUUUGA
rnacentral:tRNA from 1 species